rnacentral:rRNA from 1 species
GUAGGGAAUCUUCCACAAUGGGCGCAAGCCUGAUGGAGCAACACCGCGUGAGUGAAGAAGGGUUUCGGCUCGUAAAGCUCUGUUGUUAAAGAAGAACACGUAUGAGAGUAACUGUUCAUACGUUGACGGUAUUUAACCAGAAAGUCACGGCUAACUACGUGCCAGCAGCCGCGGUAAUACGUAGGUGGCAAGCGUUAUCCGGAUUUAUUGGGCGUAAAGAGAGUGCAGGCGGUUUUCUAAGUCUGAUGUGAAAGCCUUCGGCUUAACCGGAGAAGUGCAUCGGAAACUGGAUAACUUGAGUGCAGAAGAGGGUAGUGGAACUCCAUGUGUAGCGGUGGAAUGCGUAGAUAUAUGGAAGAACACCAGUGGCGAAGGCGGCUACCUGGUCUGCAACUGACGCUGAGACUCGAAAGCAUGGGUAGCGAACAGGAUUAGAAACCCGGGUAGUCC